AAGAGACAGCAGCAGCCGCGGUAAUACAGAGGGUGCGAGCGUUAAUCGGAUUUACUGGGCGUAAAGCGUGCGUAGGCGGCUUUUUAAGUCGGAUGUGAAAUCCCUGAGCUUAACUUAGGAAUUGCAUUCGAUACUGGGAAGCUAGAGUAUGGGAGAGGAUGGUAGAAUUCCAGGUGUAGCGGUGAAAUGCGUAGAGAUCUGGAGGAAUACCGAUGGCGAAGGCAGCCAUCUGGCCUAAUACUGACGCUGAGGUACGAAAGCAUGGGGAGCAAACAGGAUUAGAGACCCGCGUAGUCCCUGUCUCUUAUAC
rnacentral:rRNA from 1 species